rnacentral:rRNA from 1 species
AUCAAACCCGGUGAUAGCUGGUUCUCCCCGAAAUAUAUUGAGGUAUAGCCUCGGGAAUUGAUUAGCGGAGGUAAAGCACUGACAGGGCUAGGGGUCCUACCAGAUUACCAAACCCUAUCAAACUCAGAAUGCCGCUUAAUCGUAUCCCGGGAGUCAGACGGCGGGUGCGAAGGUUCGUCGUCAAAAGGGAAACAGCCCAGACCAACAGCUAAGGUCUCCAAAUCCAUGCUCAGUGGUGAAGGUAGUGGAACCGUUUAGACAGCCAGGACGUUGGCUUAGAAGCAGCCAUCGUUUAAAGAAAGCGUAAUAGCUCACUGGUCUAAUGGCUCUGCGCCGAAAAUGUAACGGGGCUAAGCAUGGUACCGAAGCUUUGGCAAUCUCCUUUGGAGAUUGGGUAGGGGAGCGUUCGCUGCGGGCUGAAGGUGUGUCGGAAGGCAUGCUGGACUGCAGUGAAGUGAUUAUGCUGACAUGAGUAACGAUAAAAUAUGUGAAAAACAUAUUCGCCGAAAACCCGAGGUUUCCUGGGUAAAGGUAAUCUUCCCAGGGUUAGUCGGAUCCUAAGAUGAGGGUGAAAGCCGUAAUCGAUGGAAAACAGGUUAAUAUUCCUGUACUUGUUGUGUAGCGCGAUGGAGGGACGCAGGAAGAUAGGCGGGCCGGGUGUUGGAUAUCCCGGUGCAAGCGUGUAGGAAUAUCCGGUAGGCAAAUCCGCCGGACGAAUCUGAGACGCGAGUCCGUGGGCGCAAGCCCUGAAGCCGUUGAGUCUAUGCUGCCUAGAAAAGCUCCUAAGUUUAUCCACAGCAAUCCGUACCGCAAACCAACUCAGGUGGGUGGGAUGAACAAUCCAAGGCGCUCGAGAGAACUCUGGCCAAGGAACUCGGCAAAAUAACCCCGUAACUUCGGAAGAAGGGGUGCUCUCUAGGGUGACAUGUUUAACAUAUGAAGCCCCGGGGAGCCGCAGUGAAUUGGUGGUGGCGACUGUUUACUAAAAACAUAGGUCUGUGCGAAGUCCUAAAGACGACGUAUACGGACUGACGCCUGCCCGGUGCUGGAAGGUUAAAAGGAGGGGUCAGCGCAAGCAAAGCUCCGAAUUGAAGCCCCAGUAAACGGCGGCCGUAACUAUAACGGUCCUAAGGUAGCGAAAUUCCUUGUCGGGUA